rnacentral:rRNA from 1 species
GACGAACGCUGGCGGCGUGCUUAACACAUGCAAGUCGAGCGGAAAGGCCCUUUCGGGGGUACUCGAGCGGCGAACGGGUGAGUAACACGUGAGUAAUCUGCCCCUGGCUUUGGGAUAGCCACCGGAAACGGUGAUUAAUACCGGAUACGACCACCUCUCGCAUGGGAUGGUGGUGGAAAGUUUUUCGGCCAGGGAUGUGCUCGCGGCCUAUCAGCUAGAUGGUGAGGUAAUGGCUCACCAUGGCUUCGACGGGUAGCCGGCCUGAGAGGGUGAGCGGUCACACUGGGACUGAGACACGGCCCAGACUCCUACGGGAGGCAGCAGUGGGGAAUAUUGGACAAUGGGCGGAAGCCUGAUCCAGCAACGCCGCGUGAGGGAUGACGGCCUUCGGGUUGUAAACCUCUUCCAGCAGGGACGAAGCGCAAGUGACGGUACCUGCAGAAGAAGCACCGGCCAACUACGUGCCAGCAGCCGCCGUAA